UACGAAGGGGGCUAGCGUUGCUCGGAAUUACUGGGCGUAAAGCGCACGUAGGCGGCUUUCUAAGUCGGGGGUGAAAUCCUGGAGCUCAACUCCAGAACUGCCUUCGAUACUGGAGAGCUCGAGUCCGGGAGAGGUGAGUGGAACUGCGAGUGUAGAGGUGAAAUUCGUAGAUAUUCGCAAGAACACCAGUGGCGAAGGCGGCUCACUGGCCCGGUACUGACGCUGAGGCGCGAAAGCCAGGGGAGCAAACAGG
rnacentral:rRNA from 1 species